CAAAACGUACAUAGUGAGCAUGCAGAAUGAGUUCCUAGUAAUGCUUUUAGGUAUACAGGACUUUGUUAAAUAAAUGAUUCCGCCUUCAUAACAAAAUUCCCUGUACUUUAUGCUUGAAUCCUCUAGAAGUUGAUCCAAGACAGAGAAGAAGAUACAUGGAGCUUAUUUGGGAGGUGCACUGAUAAAAGAUUGCAGACAUGAAAAAAGGGAAGAGAAGAAACUCUUUUCAAGGUUUCAGAAGAAACUACCUUAAUGAAGAAACAGAAGGGAAAGACGUGAAAACCUCCAGAGUUCUUCAGAAAGGCUUCCUUUGCAUAGAAUCGUUCAUCAAUUUCAACAGUAACAGAAAGUAACGGAAACGUGAUCUGAAUGAGUAGCUGAAAAUUGAGUAGUAACUUAACACUCCAUUGAAGUUUUUCAUCAGAUAUGGGGCACAGCUUGACCCUCGUAUUAUAAAUAUUUAAAUGCUUUGGAUAUUUUGCCAAAGUUUAAGCAUUUCUUCCCAAAGGAACAGUGGUGAUAUAAUGUGAGUCAUGCUAAAGUACUUAACCAUCAGUGGGCAGAUUUUGUGGCAUGAAUUUUUGUAAUGAUUUUAAGUAAGACCCGGUAUAUUCACAAAUAUCCAAAACUUUAUUUAGAACUGUAUGGGAAGCUAUUCUAUCUAAAAGCUCAUUCUUAUUAAAAGUAUUUUUUCAGGAAAUAAAAUGAUGUUAAACCUGGAAGUCUCCAGCAAAGAGACUGAUUUUUUUUUAGAUGCUCCCAACUCAGUAAAUUUUGCUUUCCUAUUUUCUUAUUUUUGUACGUAUGCCACUGAUGUCUAGCUUAUACACUUCUGUUAUAUUUACAGCUGUUUACAACCAUUGAACCAAAAGUUCUAUACCUGUUGAAUGUCUAAAAGUAGAGAAAAUUAAUUGAAAAGCAAUAGGUUAAGAAUCAACCUGUGGUCCCAAGAAAAAGAAGUAAAAUCCUAUAAAAUUCUUAAAGCAUUUCCUCUAUAAAUAUUUGAAAGUUAUUUAAUCUUUUGGUCUUUAUAGUGCCUGGAUUGACAUUCUGCAUUAACUAUGGAAUCAUUUUUAUAAGGAAUAUUUUGUGAUUUGUAUAAGAAAAAGUAUUUCUCAAUGGCAUAGGAAGAGCUUUGCUAACUCUUAGAAGAAAGAGGGAAGAGAAGAGGGAAGGAAACAAGUAAAACGAACUGGUGGUACAUCGUGUAUUAAGAGAUAAUACAAGGAUAUCAUACUAUAAUGUUUUCAGACAAAAAUUAUGGACAGGCUAAUUCGUGAAAUAAGAUGAAGACCUAAAAGGUAGCAAUGAUCCUAUACACUAUACUCUGUAACAGUUGUUUUCAAACUGCUUUUUAAACAUAAAAACAAUUUUAAAUCCACUAUUUUAGCACAUUCUGGUCUUAUAUAGUAAUUACAUGGCUAUAUUUUUCCAGUGUGACAUAUUUAAAAUACAUAUCAUUAAAUUUCUGGUUAAUCUUAAACAUGGAAAUAAAGUACGAAAUUUCUAGUUGUUG
rnacentral:lncRNA from 10 species